UACAGAGGUGGCAAGCGUUGUUCGGAAUUACUGGGCGUAAAGGGCGCGUAGGCGGCCUGUUAAGUCCCGUGUGAAAUCCCUCGGCUCAACCGAGGAACUGCACGGGAAACUGUCGGGCUUGAGGUCGGGAGAGGGAGGCGGAAUUCCGGGUGUAGCGGUGAAAUGCGUAGAUAUCCGGAGGAACACCGGUGGCGAAGGCGGCUUCCUGGACCGACACUGACGCUGAGGCGCGAAAGCUAGGGGAGCAAACGGG
rnacentral:rRNA from 1 species